GACGAACGCUGGCGGCGUGCUUAACACAUGCAAGUCGAACGGAAAGGCCCUGCUUUUGUGGGGUGCUCGAGUGGCGAACGGGUGAGUAACACGUGAGUAACCUGCCCUUGACUUUGGGAUAACUUCAGGAAACUGGGGCUAAUACCGGAUAGGAGCUCCUGCUGCAUGGUGGGGGUUGGAAAGUUUCGUCGGUUGGGGAUGGACUCGCGGCUUAUCAGCUUGUUGGUGGGGUAGUGGCUUACCAAGGCUUUGACGGGUAGCCGGCCUGAGAGGGUGACCGGCCACAUUGGGACUGAGAUACGGCCCAGACUCCUACGGGAGGCAGCAGUGGGGAAUAUUGCACAAUGGGCGGAAGCCUGAUGCAGCAACGCCGCGUGCGGGAUGACGGCCUUCGGGUUGUAAACCGCUUUCGCCUGUGACGAAGCGUGAGUGACGGUAAUGGGGAAAGAAGCACCGGCUAACUACGU
rnacentral:rRNA from 1 species